GAUAACCGCCCACCUGCUCCCCGCAGCGAAAACAGGUGGACUAAUCAACUCAAAGUGACAAGAAGAUAUGCCGGCAAAGGGCUUCGGCCUUCGGCCUUAUGGAUGAAAACACCAAUUCAUGCUGACAAAACACCAAAGGAUGAGCAGCGCUGACCCAGGAGCACAUCAAGUAAAAUCCUCGGUAUAGAGGAUGGAAGAAUCUGCCAGUCCAACAGUUUUGCGGUACAAAACCAGGCGAAGGAGGAGAUUGACAGAAAACAAGAGCGGACCUCGGACGGGCACUCACUUGGUGGAGAGAGCUCCGGGAUUUAGAGGCGUCAAAACUGCCAUGUAGUUUGUACUCCCUUCUAGCAGAUCAAAGCCAGGCUGUUGACAUUGAGUUAGCUAUGAUGCUGAUGCUAAAGCUGUCUCUAGUUUACCCUAGGAGCCAGAAAAACAAGGUCGUGCCCCUGCUGAAGUCACACAAGGAGGGGAAUAAGUCGUGGGCUGAUCCCCGCUGAAAGCUGCAGGAAUGGACAUCGCUGUGAUUCAUCUCUGUCUCAUCGCCCCUGCUGCUCGGAGCCUCCAUGGACGGCCGCUCUCUGUGACACCCUCUGCACCGGCCAGCUCGCAGCCACUGACAGGAGCCAUGUGCUAAAACGCAGGCAAGUGUGGUGGAAAUGGAAGCAGUCUGUCUUCCUCUGCACAGCUAUGUUUUUUAGGGGCAAGAAUAUAAAGCAUUGUUUCAUCAUUCUUUCUUGUUACAAUUUUGGUCCAAUUUUUCUAGUUUUGACAUGUGAUAUGUAAUAUUUUCCUUAUUAUCAAUCAAUCAAUGAAUACACAUAAAACAACAAUCUACUAAUCCUAUUGACAAAUACUAUUGUCCAAAAAUCUAUUUUGCUAGUAUAUGCCUACACUCACAGAAACAUGAUGCACAUUACUUUUGCUACGACUACUGUACCAAGUUUUAUGAAAUUGCGGAGCCCUUUUUAAAAAAUAAAAUUAUGCACCUUUGACUUUUUAAAAAAUUAAGGUUGCCAACAUUGCACUCACUUCAGGUUUUAUCUCCAAAAUACAGUGGUUUGGAUAAUCUGGCUGAACAGUUUUAAAACUGUUUUUGGCUCAUUUACAAGCCCUCUGAUUUCCCCAUGUUUCCAAGUCUUGGCAAUUACUUUGGUCAUGAGUACAGUGUCGGUAUAACAAGAGGGCAAAACUAAACAAAAAGACCCCUAGUUUCACCAAACUGGAAUUAUCCUUUAAUCCUACUUCAAUUGCAGUAUUAGGCGGACGGCUUGAUCAAUAUGUGCCAGCCAGUUCUCAUUUGCAGUUUUCCCUCACAGACAGAAAUGCCUGUCUUUUAUAAUAGUCACUCAUCCAUGCACAGUGAAAGUAUUAAGAUUCAUGCUAGGAUUCCAAGGAAUUAACCGUGGUGGAUUUAAACACCCUAUCUCUUGUGUGCUUUGUCUUCAUUAACCCAAAGAUCAAUAUGUCAUUGGCUCAAUUAUGGCAGACAUUGAUGACAUUGAGCCCGCCAUCCUAUUUGUUCCGAGUCACUUCAUCCCGCCCUCAACCCCGCGGUAAGCGAUUCACACGGCGACUCAACCCUCAACAUCUGCCACCAUCUUGGGCUUUGCCUCCUGCAAGCCAAUUUCCAUAAUAGUGUUUGUGGAGAAAACAGAGCUUGUUUUGAUUCCGUGCGCAAAGCUCAUGCAAAUGCCCCAUGGGAGAGAGGUUAUAGAGAGUAAAGAGUGGCAAAAGGAAUACCAAAAUAUCAAGAAGACAAACUAAGGGCAUAACUCAGCAAAUGCUGCGGAAUACUGCUGCAGGUGGAUAGAUGCGGGCUCCGGCUGAUAUUAACCAAGCUGAUAAAUUCGAGCAGUUCUUGAUUCCUCAGUCCAGCAGGCUGUCCUACUAGCACCUUGAUGUCAUGCUAACUCAGAGCCCAAAAAGUUGUGCCUUGUUAUGUGAGAGAUUUCUAAUGUGCACUGAAGAAGAGAGAGUCCUUGAUCGAACUGUAUUUUCUAAAGAAAAAGACAAACUACAAUGAAGGACGCCGGGCUGACUGCUUUUUGGAUGAUUUCCUGGUUUUUCAAAGGCUUUUUCUCUUGCUGCUUUUCCUUUUCGUUUUUUUCCCCCCAGUGUAGAACCACUGCAGCCCUAGCUCCAUAAAGAACCAUUCAUAAAGGGCUUUACAUUACCCCAUUACAUUUUUCAAUUUCAUCAUUCGAGGGCUGAGACAGAACGGCUCUGAUGUAGGAUCAGAAAAGUGCCGUACUAGUGCUCCUGAUGAAAUACUGGCUCUGGCUGUUCGGCACUCGUCCGGUGCGUUCCACAAGCUGCUCUUCAUCUGUGGGUCAACGACACGAAACAAAGCGAUUCCGGGGCCUCGUGUGAUGAAGCCACAGGUCAGCGGAGCCGUUUGUUUCCUGGUCAGAGCCGAGAGGAGCAGGUGUCACCGAGCCGCAUUUAAUAGGAUCUCGCCAAGCCGCUUAGACGUAUUCCAUGACUCCAGAGCUGUGUCCCACUUUCUGGAUAAUAUCGCUCGUCAUAUUGAGUAUGUUGAGAAAUAUUUGACGAGGCAGAAGGACGCUUGCUUUAGAUACAAUAAAUACAAGGUCUCCCUCUCGUACCUGCUUUUCAACCUUCAUUUUUAAAAAUACAAGCGGCUUGAGACUGUACUUCACUGCCAUGCAGGAACAACAUCAAAAGACUGACAUGGUACUCCCGGGGGGCACGACCUUAAGCGACACACACACAGAAAAGUAAACACACAUGGCUGCCUGGCCCAUGACCUGCUCAGACUGGUACACCGUGCCGUCUGUCGGUUGUGUGGUCAGCUGCUCGUCACAAAGCCUCUUCACAGCUUUUGUCUUAAUUUAGUUCCUGUCACCUAGCUGGCCGUGAGUCAGCUCUGGCUUGCAGAAGGGCUUAUUCCCUUACUUAGGUUGCCACGGCUCGCAACCCCGGGGAGACAAAAGCCAUUGUAGAGACUCUCUGCCUUCGUCACUCACCGGACUGGUGGCUGGUCGGUCUGGGACCUCCGGCUGCUUUUGUUGGUGGUUAUGUUGGUGAGACAAAGAUCAAGGUUUGGCUGUGGUUAAAUUUAGAAUUUAAAUGUCAUCUGGAUCUUUUUCUUUUCUUCUCCUGAAGCUCUUCACAAAGCCAGAGUGGAUAGUCUGAAAUGUCCUCGGAGCUCAGCAACAACAGGGGUUGUGAUCUGAUUCAAUACCACUCUGAUAUCUAAAGGAGAUUUUUUUUUGUAGAUAUUUUAAGGGAACAAUUUGACAUUUUGGAGAAACGUUCAUUCCCUUUGUUGAUGACAGUUUGAUGUAAAGAUUGUUUCAUGUUUGUUGAGUCAGAAGCCUGAGCUGAGAGCAGGGGGAAAGAGCUAACCUGGCUCGGUCCAAAGAUAAAAUAAUAAAAAUCUGCUGAAAAGUUAAUUAAUUAACACAUCAUAUCUCUUUUGUUUGAAUUGUAUCCAUGACCCGUUGCUUCUUGUUUUUA